CAAAUUCUCGGCUCUGCUUCUGUCUUUACCAACAUCGGCUCUUGCAGACUACAAGGUGGUUUUCGGUUCAAUUUGCGAUCUAUGUUUUUCAGAAGAAGAAGAGGGAGACGGGAAGAAGUUGAUUCUCGAUUUGAACAGAAAUUGAGUGAACUGAUGUUAUUCUACGAUGGCUUCGAAUUUGUUUCGUUUAUUUUUUUCCGGUCUCUCAGCUUUUACGACCAUCAUACUUCCCCGUUUUGGUUUUUCCUCUUCAAGAAUCAAUCCAAGUAGUUUUCAAUUGACCUGGGUUGGAUUUUGUAGGGGUAUUGUUCGUGCUCCAGUUUGGGGUUUGAGUGAUUGAUUGGAGGAGGUUAAAGACAUAAAAAUACAAGCCUGGAAAAUGAAUACAAGAGUCAGGACAAAGCUGCAGUCCAUGAUAUCUCCAACCAAGAAGAAUGAAAAAAUUGUCCCCUUUGAUCAUACCAAAAAGAAGAAGAUGGUGAUUCGGGCCUUCAAAACGAUCCUGUGGAUAAGUUGGCUGACAAAACAAAAUACCUGGCAGAGAAGAAGCCAUGAACAUUUUCAAAGCUAAAUGUAACAACUAAUGUAAAUCAUAUGCAUACCUUGAAGCUUUCAAAACAUGUUUGCAUCUUUGGUGGACAAAGAAAAUGAUUGAUCAUGGGGAAUGGUAUGAUCGCUUUCAAAGUGAAGGGUCUGCUCUGACUUGAUCUGAGUUGUUUCCUUUUACUUAUUUUGACUCAAUUCGUGCUUCUAAUUUGAACAGUUCACUCUUCGCAGUAUAAUACUAUGAUAUGUGACAGAGAAGCAGAGAGAGGGAGAUAAGAGUUGCAACAUGCCUGUAGAUACAAGUCUGAAAGCAUGGGGUUCUAUUGUUCCACCAUCCUGUAGAUACAAGUCUGAAAGCAGACCGGGAACAAUCUAGAUAAACUCAAGUAAUGAUUCUCAAGAGUAGAGGAGGAAAAUCAGAAAGUUCAAGACCAGCAGCUAAAGUGGGUGAACACGCAGUUCAGGCAUCUAGAAGAAGCACAUGAGAAGCUCUGAGAUAAGUUCAAGAAAAGUAAGAAGGAACGGGAAAGGCACAAGUAAUCAUUGCUUGAUGAGAAUUGUUUGCUCAAUACAAACUUGGAGUCUCUAUAUAUGGCUGCUUUUCUUUCAGUGUUAUUUGAUUUUAAGUAUGAUUUCUUAGUGCUUAUAUAUGGAUAGCAUUCAAAAUCAACACUUCGCUAUUGAUUAAUAAUCAAUCAGGUGCGAUUCAAUGUUUUCCAAGAUUAAGUAUAUAGAUUCAGCUAAUCAAUUUGGUCCA